ACCUUCGUGGUGUAGUGGUCAGCACGCUCGACGCGUAACCGAGAGGUCCGUGGUUCGAUUCCCGGCGAAGACG
rnacentral:tRNA from 1 species